rnacentral:rRNA from 1 species
UAGGGAAUCUUCGGCAAUGGGGGCAACCCUGACCGAGCAACGCUGCGUGAGUGAAGAAGGUUUUCGGAUCGUAAAGCUCUGUUGUAAGUCAAGAACGGGUGUGAGAGUGGAAAGUUCACACUGUGACGGUAGCUUACCAGAAAGGGACGGCUAACUACGUGCCAGCAGCCGCGGUAAUACGUAGGUCCCGAGCGUUGUCCGGAUUUAUUGGGCGUAAAGCGAGCGCAGGCGGUUUGAUAAGUCUGAAGUUAAAGGCUGUGGCUCAACCAUAGUUCGCUUUGGAAACUGUCAAACUUGAGUGCAGAAGGGGAGAGUGGAAUUCCAUGUGUAGCGGUGAAAUGCGUAGAUAUAUGGAGGAACACCGGUGGCGAAAGCGGCUCUCUGGUCUGUAACUGACGCUGAGGCUCGAAAGCGUGGGGAGCGAACAGG